UACGUAGGUGGCAAGCGUUGUCCGGAUUUACUGGGUGUAAAGGGCGUGCAGCCGGGAAGACAAGUCAGAUGUGAAAUCCCGCGGCUCAACCGCGGAACUGCAUUUGAAACUGUUUUUCUUGAGUACCGGAGAGGUCAUCGGAAUUCCUUGUGUAGCGGUGAAAUGCGUAGAUAUAUGGAAGAACACCAGUGGCGAAAGCGGCUCUCUGGUCUGUAACUGACGCUGAGGUUCGAAAGCGUGGGUAGCAAACAGG
rnacentral:rRNA from 1 species